AGUGAACGCUGGCGGUAGGCCUAACACAUGCAAGUCGAACGGCAGCACAGUAAGAGCUUGCUCUUACGGGUGGCGAGUGGCGGACGGGUGAGGAAUACAUCGGAAUCUACUUUUUCGUGGGGGAUAACGUAGGGAAACUUACGCUAAUACCUCAUACUACCUACGGGUGAAAGCAGGGGAUCUUCGGACCUUGCGCGAUUGAAUGAGCCGAUGUCGGAUUAGCUAGUUGGCGGGGUAAAGGCCCACCAAGGCGACGAUCCGUAGCUGGUCUGAGAGGAUGAUCAGCCACACUGGAACUGAGACACGGUCCAGACUCCUACGGGAGGCAGCAGUGGGGAAUAUUGGACAAUGGGCGCAAGCCUGAUCCAGCCAUACCGCGUGGGUGAAGAAGGCCUUCGGGUUGUAAAGCCCUUUUGUUGGGAAAGAAAAGCAGCAGGUUAAUACCCCGCUGUCCUGACGGUACCCAAAGAAUAAGCACCGGCUAACUUCGUG
rnacentral:rRNA from 1 species